CACCUUUUUCCAUCCAAGACUUCUUCUUGUUUACAUCUACCCCUCUGUGAAGUAAUGGAGAAGGCAUGGUCUCCUCCAGUGAUGGUCCAAUUCAUUGCCACUUAUGGGAGGGAAUUGGGGUAACUAAUAUAAAUGUGUGUAUUCAAGCUUCCUUACAGAAAAGUAUUAAAUCAAUGCUUCAUGUGACUGAGUUUCACUUGACCGUUGCAUGGAAGUGCCUUCACCAGCUGUCAGAGUAACAGCUUCUGGAGGUAAAAUGGCAAUAUUUUACCUUGCCCUAUUAAAGGCACUCUCCAGUGCCAGGAAAAC